rnacentral:rRNA from 1 species
UACGAGGGGGCGAGCGUUGCUCGGAAUCACUGGGCGUAAAGGGUGCGUAGGCGGGUUUUUAAGUCAGAGGUGAAAUCCUGGAGCUCAACUCCAGAACUGCCUUUGAUACUGAAAGUCUUGAGUAUGGGAGAGGUGAGUGGAGCUGCGAGUGUAGAGGUGAAAUUCGUAGAUAUUCGCAAGAACACCAGUGGCGAAGGCGGGAUCACUGGUCCGGUACUGACGCUGAGGUGCGAAAGCGUGGGGAGCAAA